AAGUUCAACCAGCUUGUACGUGCCAUUUUUCUGUAGAGAUUCCAUCUCUUCUUGCAUGGCUUUCAUCCACUGGUUCUUUUCUGGAUGGACAGCACUUCCUUAAGACUUUCUGGCUCCCCCUCAUCACUAAUGAGGACAUACUCUGUGGAAGGGUACCUGCAUGACUCUACCAUUGGCCUCUCUGAUCUCCUCAGAGGUUGAGGUUGUUCUUCAUCCUGAGUAGGGUGCUCCACUUCCUCGACACUUUCAUCAAGUUGCUCCCCUUGCUCAAUAACUUCACCAGGUUGCUCCACUUGCUCGGCAACCUCGUCAGUCGUACUUUCUGCACUUGUGGGAUUGUUAGAAGUAGAAGGAACAGUAACAAGGUUAGGAAUUAUACCAUUCUUCGUCUUUUCUGACAUAUCGGCAGCAAUUCCAACUUCACUUUCUCGGAAGGCUACAUCUCUACUUCUGAUGACCUUCUUCUUUACAGGAUCCCACAAUUUGUACCCGAACUCUUCAUCUCCAUAUCCGAUAAAUAGGAAGGGAACAUAUUUAUCAUCCAGCUUUGUUCUCUGCUCUUUAGGUACAUGUGCAAAAGCUCAGCAACUGAACACCUUCAGAUGCGAGUAGGACACCUCCUUAUUGGUCCAAACUCUCUCUGGGAUGUCAAAUGACAAUGGAACUGAUGGACUCCUAUUGAUUAGGUAACAUGUCGUUUGAACUGCUUCACCCCAGAAUGACUUAGGUAGUUUAGCCAUUCUGAGCAUGCUUCUCACCAUGGUACCUGCAUGACUCUACCCUUGGCCUCUCCGAUAUCCUCAGAGGUUGAGGUUGUUAUUCUUCCUAAGUGGGGUGCUCCACUUCCUCUACACCUUCAUCAAGUUGCUCCCCCUGCUCAAUAACCUCACCAGGUUGCUCCCCUUGCUCGGCAACUUUCAUCAAGUUGCUCCCCUUGCUCAAUAACUUCACCAGGUUGCUCCACUUGCUCGGCAACCUCGUCAGUCGUACUUUCUGCACUUGUGGGAUUGUUAGAAGUAGAAGGAACAGUAACAAGGUUAGGAAUUAUACCAUUCUUCGUCUUUUCUGACAUAUCGGCAGCA
rnacentral:lncRNA from 1 species